rnacentral:rRNA from 1 species
AGCGAACGCUGGCGGCAGGCCUAACACAUGCAAGUCGAACGAACUCUUCGGAGUUAGUGGCGGACGGGUGAGUAACACGUGGGAACGUGCCUUUUGGUUCGGAAUAACUCAGGGAAACUUGUGCUAAUACCGAAUGUGCCCUUCGGGGGAAAGAUUUAUCGCCAUUAGAGCGGCCCGCGUCUGAUUAGCUAGUUGGUGAGGUAACGGCUCACCAAGGCGACGAUCAGUAGCUGGUCUGAGAGGAUGACCAGCCACACUGGGACUGAGACACGGCCCAGACUCCUACGGGAGGCAGCAGUGGGGAAUCUUGCGCAAUGGGCGAAAGCCUGACGCAGCCAUGCCGCGUGAAUGAUGAAGGUCUUAGGAUUGUAAAAUUCUUUCACCGGGGACAAUAAUGACGGUACCCGGAGAAGAAGCCCCGGCUAACUUCGUG